AAUAAAACCAUUUGCCAUCCACAAAGCAACCAACUCCUCCCUCCUCAUCACGUGAUCUUUUGGAAAUAUAGCGCAAUACGCAAAGCAUUGCUUCAAAUGUGGUGAUAGAUUAGUGUAACUCAACCUCAAAGCAGGUAAAAUCUUGCUUGCUUCUUCUCUUAGAUCCCAAAUCUCACUUUCUUUGACAGCUAUCCACUGAUCUUCAUUAUCUUUAAGCCGCAUUAGGUUCCCGAGUGCCUUUAUAGCUAAAGGAACACCACCACACUUCUUCACUAUUGAUACUCCAAUGGCUUCCAGGUGUGCCCACUCCUCUGUCCUUCUCAUCCAAAAUGCAAGCCGUUGAAACAAAUGCCAAGAAUCUUCUUCAGACAAUCUCCCCAUUUGCUGGACAAAAGUUGUUGCCAUUCUACGAGCAACCAUCUCAAUGCGCGUAGUUACUAACACAGCACUACCUUUAGCUCCGGACCUUAAUACCUCUUUCAAUUUAUUCCACCUAUCAUCAUAAUCAUCCCACACAUCAUCUAAUACAAGCAAAAACUUUUUUCCAGUUAACUUUUGUUGGAGGCGUUGUUACAAGGGAUCCAAGUCUUGAAUAUCACAUGAAGCACCAUCAAUGGACUCUAUGAUGGCUCUUGUUAAUCUUCUUACAUCGAAAUCAGUAGAUACGCACACCCAGAUCCUCAAACUGAAAUGUUGUUUAACCCUUUCUUCAUUGUAGACCAUUUGAGAAAGUGUUGUUUUCCCGAGUCCCCCCAUUCCCCAUAUAGCAUAAAUAGGGAGAUUGUCUGCAUUUGCGAGCAGGAUGUUGACUAGUUCUUCUUUCUCCUUGCCUCUUCCAUAAAUUUCUGAUUCAUUCACGAGUGAGCUGGUAAGCCGCCAAUCGUAGGUAUCAGCUGCUGUGUCCCCAACUCGUGGUGUUAAAUUGAACUUGUUUUUCUCAUUGGCAAUGGCAUCCAGUUUUUCUCUCACAUUUUUCAAUUUAAGCCCCAUUUUCAAUCGAAAAACUAGUGGGUUAUGACCGAAAGAAAAGAAGGAUCUUACUCGAUUUUUGAGAUCUCUUCGCUGCAGAAGCCACUGAGCUUCAAUUGCAAACUCAUCCAGUACAUCAUCAACAACAUAAGCUGCAUCCUUGAGGUCGCUGAGCCACACCUUGAUAGGCUCACUCUUCCACUGCUUCUCCUCUGCAUCUUGCAGAACAGCUUGAAUGGUUCUGAACGUGCGCUUGAGAUUUUCAAGCUCGGUCCUUAGGCCCCCCAGCAAGUCCAAGAUCUUGAAGAAUUGGGGAACUCAAGUUCCCCAUGAUUGUACUCGCGAGAGCAGAAAGAAUUGCAUCAGCCAUAGAUUGUUGAGAAGAAAAAGUAGAAAAGGUGCAAGGACAACUAAAAGCAGGGGAUGUGAGCAAGAAAUGGUAAGUAAAUAUGAGAAAUGGAAAGGGUGAAAGUGUUUCGUGAUGGGAUUUACUUCUGCUAUCGAUCUCUUUUUAUUACUGAUUUUAGUGUGGUGGUUCAAUUUUAUCAAAAUAUUAAAACUGCAGUCUCUUUAACUAUACUGAUUAGGCUCCACACGGUGCAGACUUGACUAGCCAUGCCUGUCUGUAUUAAAGCAUUGAAGUUUCUGAGAAGCACCUUGAUUUUUCCGGCGCUUGCCAAACCCGCGUGCUAGUGUUGAAUAAAAUAUAAAAUCACUAUCAAACUUGUAUAUUUAAAAAAUAAAAAUUGAAUAUAAUUUUUGCUAGUGUUGAAAUUUAUAACCAUGGGUUCAUGGGACAAAGAUACGAGUUCUUAAAUCAUAUUAUGCCUUCAGGUUCUUUGACAAUUGCAGAUUACUUUAAGGGUGCUCAACGUCAUAGGAAGAAAAAUGAAUAAUUUUUAUUAUUUUUUUCCCCUUUGGUUUUACAUUUCGGUUUGACUGAAAAAUACAUUAUCAAUCCUUACAUAAUUUUUUGUUUAUAAAAUUUUUAGUAUAGCCUGUACGAGCUCGGUCAAUGAUCUAGUUUCACUGAUAUAUUAAACUAUCCAUGAUUAAUCAUUUAGGAUUAAAGAUUCAAGAGAAAAGCAUGGAGUAAUUUCAAGUGUAUAAAGUAACUUUAUUAAAUCCAGUCACAACUAGAGAUGUGAUCUGCAUUACCUCAAAACAAAAUCUUUUUAAACCAUUUCCAGGCACUGGAAAUCUGGGUAUCCAUGAAGGUGAUUGAAGUUAAGAUUCCAUUAUUCAACACAAAAUGCAGAAACAAUCAUAAGACAAGCAAGCAAAGGAAUAACAUACCUUGCAGCCUCAAAUACAAAUGGAAACAAAUUGAAAGAUAUCCAUCCUACUGACAAAUCUUUCCAGGUUCCUUGUAAGUACAACUACUAACAACAUUAUUUUGUUUGAGGUAUUGCUUGAGAUUCCCAUGGCUUCCACAGGAUGGUGGUUUCUACAAUCAUGGAAGUCGCAACAUAUAGAUCCAUGUUUGAAGCAGGCCUUGUGUCCUCAUAAUACCCCUUUCCUUCUUUCUCUAUAUCACGGCCAACACAUGGAAGCUUUGUGAUUAGCAAACCCUGUCAAUCGGACAAGAUGUAAAGAAACUAAUGUAAGACAUCUUAUAAUAAGAGAACUUAAGCAGGAAGGAAAUUGUUUCUUUUCCCUCUUACCCAAUUGAAAGUACUAAUAUCCUCUGUUUCGUGCCGCCUUCCGGUAAGUCUCUGCUCAAUCCCUUUCUCCGUAGACUGCAAUAUGUUCUUUAUGCCUCAGACCAAGCUUUUCAAUUGCUUUCUUGAUGACUUCAUAGCCUCCUUCAUUUCUCAUAGACAUAGCACUGAAAAUGUGAAGAAUUUUCAAGUAUAAGAUAAAAAAAAAUAUCAAGUGUGGAAUAAAGAAGCAAAUAAAUUAAGCUUCAAUCAACGAUACAAAUUUGUACCAGUAAUUUGUGUGUGACCCCGCUCCUUUCCAAUCUUCUUGACAAAACAGAAGUCCAAUUUCCUGAGAGCUCAGACGAUAAAAGUACUGAAAACAUGCACACUGGCAGCUUCCAGUAGGGUACGAUGAAAUAAAAAUUGACCUGAAUUGGCUUUAGGAUCGAAUGAAAGCACAACUCCAGCAACCUCAGUAAUCCUCUGUUAACAUAAAUAUAGACAUUUCAGAAAACAAUAGAAAUUGGAAUAGUUGUACCGUCUUCUGUAUUCAAGUACCUCCAGAAUGUACCGAGCUGCAGCCCAUAAUUCAUCUCCAACAGAGAUACCGACUGAAGGUCAGCUUGAAAUUUCCACAGAAUGAAAAUGAAAAUGGUUUAACGUUGUAAUACAGAACAAGAUUAGAAUGGUUCUAAACUAGAACUGUAAGAUCAAAAUGGUAGAGGGGAUAUGCUCGUUCUGUUUUUUUACCUCGCCCGACAUCACUUCUCCGUUCAUACCACUAAUGUUCAUACCGGCAUACAGGCAUGCCGUCUACUGUGCAUCAACAAUGCCGAAGGCUUCGUCAACACCAACACCACAGUAGUAUGGUCCCCGAGGACCAGGAUAACCACCAAGAGACCAACCAAUAGGCCAUUUAACAUAGUUCUGCAGCAAGAUGUAUUCUUGCUCAAGAUCAUUCCUGGUUUUUUUAUCAGAUUUCUCAUUAAUCAUAAUUAUAAAACACUUUGCAGUUAUCUUAUAAGAAAAGAGAACGAAGAAAGUAAGGGUUGAUUAGGAUAAAAAAUAAAAUAAAAUACCAGAGCCCUUCAGCAACAACAUCUGGAGUUUAAGCUUCACACAUGGCCAAUCCAAUAAACAUCAACAUCGGAGAGAAUGACUUCACGCUAUCUCAAGUGGAAAGAUAUAAGGGAACAAAAUUGCACUCACAAGGAUGCUAUUGCCCCUCUUAAACGGAUCUCUGAAAAUAGAAUGCGGCCUGUUUCAUUAAAUAAAAGAGAAAUGUGGACGACAAUAAUGUAUUUAUUAUUUUAACCUUAAAAAACUCAUUUACAUUAUUUUCGGGGGUCCAAUGGUAAUUAGACAUCUCGUUCAUUAUCAAUUUAAUUAGGAUCUAGAAUGUAUUUCUUUUUUAUAUUAUAUAGUGUAAUGACUUGGAUGCCUUUAAUAUGCAAUAAAAAUGGCUUCAAUUGAGGGGCGAUUUCAAUUUUUAAUUAAAAAAACAUAGUGAAUUAACUUUGUUGCCCCUUAAGGCUUAUUCGUAUUUUCAUUUUGGUCUUUGGGUAAUCAUUGGGUCAAGACAAGGGCGGGUCCGUUUUCUACUUCUCAAAUGAACAAUUUAUUUAUUUAAUUAUCUUUCAAGUUAAAAGAUUUUUUAAACUAGGGUUAAAGGGCUUAUUUGUCUUUUUAAUUCAGUUAUUUUGUAAUCGUGGGUUAAGACAUGGGCAAUUUGAUAUUUAAAAAAUAAUAUUUAAAGAAGAAUUAUUGUUGGUGCAUUUUGUUCACGGGUGGCACGUGCAGAGAAGAUGAUGAAAUUGCACAUUCAUUAAAGAUGGAGUUAGAAAGAUGACAACAUUUUUUUUUUUAUCUUUAUACGCAUUGUAUUUUUUUUUUUUUUUUUAGGUUUUUUAAAAAAUUAUAACUACCUUGUGCAUGGGUUGUAGGCCGAUAAACGUAUUCAAGUUUGCUUAGGUUUUUUUUUUUUUUUGUAUUCUCAAUUUAUUUUUAUGACACCUUGUGCGUGGGUUUUUUAAAAAAUUAUAACCACCUUGUGUGUGGGUUGUAAGUCGCAUUUAGGUUUGUUUGGGUUAUUUUUUUUUAUUUUUUUUAUUUAUUUUUUUGACAUCUUUAUUAAAUUGAAAUGUAUUUUUUUUUAUUUUUUUAUUAAUAUUUUUAUUUUUUUAACAUGAUCACUCAUCUUGAUUUCUUUAUUUGAUGGAUAAGAUGUUGUGAGAUAGGAGAAACUUAUUUGAUGUAGCCUAGCCGAGUUAAUGAUCCAGAUCCUAACAUUUUCUUGUUUUUUAAAAUAUGUUUGCUGUCUCGUGAUAUAUUUUUUUUAAUGCCAAGAUUUUUUUUUCCAGUUUGGUUAGUGUGGUCUCUCGUUCUUGCAAUUUACAAGGAUAAGUAAAGAAAGAAAAGGCAUGAAUAGCAAUUUCACCAAAAAACAAUAUGUGGGGAAGGAAAUUACAAUAAAAUCUUUAUACAGUAAUCUAUCACAAUCCCUAAUGUCCCCAUCAUUCCAAUGUUGAUGAUUAUAUAAAAUCCAAAUAAAAAGAAUAAUUACGGAUUAAAUUGAAAAAUAAAAUAAAUUAAGAAAAAAAUUUUAAAAAUAGCAAUAAAAAGAAAGAGAACCAUUAUUUGAUAAAGAAAUUAAAUAAAAAAAAAUAUUGAGGGUUAAAAAUAAAAAAAAACCAAGAAAAUAAUAAGAAAACAAGAAUCAAAAGAAUAAGGAAAUACAAAAACUAUAUGAAACAAAAUUUUUAGGUAUGAAAUUUUAAAAAAAACUUUAAAAAGUAUUACAAGCAAAACAAAUAGUAAUUAAAAGAAUAAAAACUAAAAUUAAUAGAAAUAGAAACUAGAGGACACAAUUAAUUUUUGAAAGGGCUGACAUGAAUUUCUAAGUUAAGAGAAAAAAAAAAAAAGAGGAAAAGAAAAAAAAGUUUAUCAGAGCCCAAUCGCACCUCUACCGUUAACACACUUCUCGCCAAUACGAAGAGGACAAUGCGCCACUCCAAACAUCAUCGUAGAUGGCUGAUUUUGGUUACCGGACAACCCUACAUAUGCUAACACAUAAGCUGCACAUGUCAACAGUUUUUUUAUAGUAUUUAUUUUUUAAAAUUACCAAACAGCCCCUAGGUCAACCUAAAAAUAAAAAAAAAUAACAAAAACCCCCCUUUGGAACCAUAUUUAUAUAUAUUUUUAUUUUAUUUUAAAGACAAUUCUGUCACUUUACUAUUCUUAAAAUUAAAAUAAAAGGAUACUUAAGUUGUAAAGAGAGGAUUCAUCACCGUAGGUAAAUUAAAAAAUAUAUUUUAUCUGUUCUCAAAUAGUAUUGACUAAGAAAUUCUUAAUUAAGAUCAAAUGAGAUUUGAGAAGAGUUUCAAAUCUUAUUUAAACGAUCAAUGACUAUCAUGUAGAGAAUAAACAUGAUUUAACAUGAUACACAUACUCCAUGCUUUAAUGUUAAAUCAAAACAUUAUUGAUGAAAUGAUAUUAAUUGCACUGAGAAACUAGUCACUAGAAGAUUAAGUCAAACAACUAAUGACUUUUCUAAUAUUUAGAAAAUCAUGACAUAUUGAUAGACGAUACACCUUGUUUUCAAAUAUAAAUUAAUCAAUUGUUGAAUUGAUAAUAAAUUAAAUUAUUUAAUUUAUUUAAUUAUAAUUUAUAUUUGGGUCAACAUAUUAUAAACUUAAUAGGUUACACACAUUAAAAAUAUUUAGGUAUGAAUUAAAUUGGGAUGAUUUAAUUAAGUAUUACUUGAUUAAAAUAUAUUUUAAAAAUUAACGACUAGAAUAUAAUUAAUACAAGGAUUAUAUUUCUAGACCUCGAAAAAUCAAAUAAGUACUUGAUUAAGUUAAUUUCUAAAAUUUUCUUGAAUUAAUAUAUAGAUAUUAUUAAAGGGACAAAUUGAUAUUUUACUAAUUUAUAAAAAAGUUUAAAUUUUUCUAUAGAUAAUAAAAUAUACCUUUUAUUUUUUAGAUUUCUCUCACACUGCAGACUUGACUUGCUAAGUGGCCGUUUGGGAGUGUGGCUGCGGGUGAGGUUCACCCGCAGCCACACAUGACAGCGUUUGGUUAAGAAAAAUAAAAUGCGUCUUGCUGGUAGGACCCACUAAAAUCAGAGAUUGGACCGCAGGUUUUGAGAAGCAGCAUUUUGCUGCUUCUCGUGGUGGGAAAGGAACUUCAACAGUGGAGCCAUGCUCCACUGCGCACUGUUCACUAAGUGAACAUUUUUUUUUUUUCUGAAAAACCAGCACGCAAAGUUUUUUUUCCGAAAAACUAGUGCAGUUAAUUAAUUGCACUUGCAUUGUUCACGUGAACGUGAACGUGAACAAUAUUUUUUUUUGUUUUUUUAAAAAAUUAGUUUAAGGUGAAUUAAAUUUACUCAUACUGUAAUCUCAAUUUUAUUCAUGAUAAUAUUUUACCUAAUUUUAUUGCACGCAGGAUAAAUCAUGGAAACUAUAGUUAUUGCCGAAUGAAUUUUGUACGUAAUGAAAUUGUUGAUUUUUUUUUAAAAAAUUAUGUUUUACUCGAAAAACUAGUAUUUAAUAUUAUUUAAUAACACUACAUAAAUUAGAAGGAUAUCGCUUGAUGACGUAGCAUUUGUGAAACUUGAUCGCAAUUCCAAUUAUGUUCUUGCUGGGUCCGACCCAGUUAAAAAAAAAUUCAGUUUUUAUUUUUAUUUUUAUUGUGUUCUAUUCAAAAAAUUAGAAGGAGAUCGCUUGAUGACGUAACAAAAAAUUUAGUUUUUGUUGUUGCGCGCUUAAGAAACCAUGAAAAAUAUAGUCAUUGUUGGAUAGAUUUUGUAUGUGAUGACAUUGCACAUAGUUUAAUGGAAUAAUAAAAAAUAUUUGAUAUCAAUAUUAUUUAUUUCAUGAUAUAAUAACAGUAGUUAAAUCUACAAUAUUUAAAUUAAAAAUCAUUAAUAUUAAUAUAUAUAUUUUUAAUUAUUCUAUAACCUCAAUUUGAAAAGCAUUUUUUUAACCAAACACAUUAAACUACUUUUUCUUCAACCUCAAUUUCAACCACAGUUUUAACCAAACACCUAUUUUUUCAAACCAACCUCAACUAAAAGUACUUUUUAUAAAACAAUUUUUUUCAAAUAACAACCACAACAACUACCACAAUACCAAACACACUCUAAGUUUUAGAGAAGCAACAUUGCUAUGAUUUGAAGACAACAUUCAUCAACUUUACUUUGCUUGUUGGUUAGUAAAUGUAUUUUCAAUAUAUUUUUUUAAAUUCAUUAAUUAUAUUUCUCUCGGUUAUUAUCCGAAAGGUUGUUUUAUUAAUAAAUUAAUUGUCUGUUAUAAAAAAAUAGUUUCAUUAAAGCUAGUUUAAGGUGAAUUUUUUUUUUAUUUUUUUAUGUAUAUCUCAUGAGUGAUAUUGUGAACAAUCAUCGUUUUAUAUUUGAAACUUUGGUUAAGUUGAUCUUCAUUUCAUAAAACAUUUUAAAGCUUUUGUUAAAUGACAAUAUUCUUGAAUUAUUACUCAAGUUGUCUGUAUGCUCUCAAAUUGCCGUCUCCAUGCGAAUAUUUUUUAAUAGCACGGGAACUUCAAUGAUACAUCCAGUUUUAUUAUAAUAAAAUCAAUAUUGGUCUUUUAAGUAUGUGUUUAAUUGCAAAGUUGAUGAAGUCAUUUUUUAUUUGUCAAACCAGGGUAUUCCAGGCGCUGGCCCAGACUAAUCCCUCGGACAGGGUGGCAAGGUCUCCCCAAGCGUCCUUCUGUAGACGAAGAAAAGGGUCGAACCCUCAACCUCGUAAGUGACGAGAGCAUGCCUACCGCUCCGCCGGGACCUCUUGGGUAGUUGAUGAAGUCAUUUAAAGUAAUAGAAAACUUAUUCUAUAAAAAAAAUCUAAUUUUCUUAUUCAUACAUUUUUUUUAUAAUUUUGUUUAUGGGAAGUAUUGUUUUUUAAGAAAAAAAACUUAUAACAAUCAUAAAACCAGUUUUAACAAAAUAAUAAUAAUAAUAAUCAUAAAUCACUUAUUUUAACACAUUUAUAUGAAAAAUAUAACAAUAAUGAAUUUGAUAAAGUUAUUUAAACAAUUACAACAAAUUAAAACUAAAAAAAUACAUAUUUUAUUCUCAUUGAAUGUUAAUGUCAGGAAUGUGAGCUAUCUUAGGCCAGUCCUCUCCUACAUCUUUCUCAUACCUUUUCUUCAAAUUUGGACAACCCCAAAUGAAUAGAGAUCGGAGAGAAGUGAGAUGUUGGAUACUCUCUGGCAAUGAAUUCAGCUCUGGACAAUUAACAAGCUCCAAAUCCUCAAGUACCGUCAGAUGCCGCACUCCCUCUGAUAGAGAUGUGAAUUUAUCACAACCUACAACAGAUAACUUGCGAAGAGAAGAUAAGCCACACAGCCCAUUCAUUGGCAGACAAUUUAAUCUUCCACACUUAAUUAUCUCUAAAACCUCCAAGGAAUUGAGGUUACGAAGACCUUCCUCUGGCAAACUUUCAAGUUCAUCACAACCCCCAAUAGUCAAGCUUUUAAGAGCAGAAAGGUUAUCUAAUACCCUAUUUGACAAAGACUCCAGAUCUCGCAUCCCACCAAUUACUAAGCUUUCAAGGAGGGUAUGAUUUUGCAAAAUCCCAUCGGGAAGCUCCCUCACUUUUGGAAUCUGUUCUAUAAUAAGGGAGGUGAUCGAAGAGAGAUUCCUAACUGAUAUCAGCGACGAAGCAUUACCUCCCCAGAUGUCUAAUUUUUUAAGGGAGGGUAUAAUUGGUAUUUCGUUCAACAGAGGGCAAGAAAAUAUCUUCAAUUCUUGAAGGCGAGGAAAAGUACUGUGAACAACUGGGGAUGGAUUCUGCCCAUCUCCAUACACAUUGCUGUCAAUACUCUUCACACCAUCCAUUCCCCAUACUUUAAGACUCUUGAGCAACUGUAGUUGCCCCAAUGGUGGAAGUUGUUCACAGUUGGGAAAUGCUGAUAGCUCCAUCUCUACCAGAUUUGGUAGCGUCAUGUUCAAGUUCAUCAUCCAAUUAGGAAAUCUUGAACCUCCAUAUCCAAAUAUCUUCAACUUCUUCAGAUUUGAAUGAGGUUGAAGCCCUUCAAGGACCUCCUCGUUAUUUACCUGAAUAACACUCUUUCUUUGUUGCGGUGGCACAAAUGACUAAGGGUUAAAAAGGUAAGAUCCAUUCCCAUGCCAAGAUAAAGUCAGUGAUAAAAGAGUCGUCUUCAACUUCAAAUUGGCACUUUUGGCAUCUUCUAAAUUCUUAACAUUCACAAGAUCUGCGAUACUCAAUUCACCAGCAAGAUUAUUCAGCCAUUCCAGCUCACUUAUGCCACGACCAUUCUCCCCACCCACAAUGAACAGGGUAAGUUUUCGUAGGCAUAUCAAUUGCCCCAUUCCAGCAGGCAUAAAUUGAAGUGAACAGCAAUAUGUGAUGUCAAGAUAGACUAGACUUUUCAUGUGCUUCAUACCUUUUGGUAAUUGGAUGAGUUCUCUGCAAUAUCUCAAAUCUAGUGUCUGGAGGUUUUGGAGUGAGGUUAUACUUUCAGGCAGUGUUUUGAACUCGGAGCCUGAUACAUCUAGAUACCUUAGAUGUUUCAAAUCACAAAUUGACUUUGGAAAAUUCUCCACCCGGACAUUUAUUAAUCUCAAGGCUCGAUGUUUUCGACUAGGAAACUUUCCCCAUUUAUUCUGAAGAGCAUCAUUCCUCAAAAGAAGUGAGCGAAGUGAUAGGACCUUGAGAACUUCAGAAGACGAAGCUCCUGAUUUGUUAUAAAAAGCUACAUGACGGACAGUUUUAGGAAUUUCCAACUUCCCAUCGCCUUCUGUACUCAUAUAGCAUUCUUGUACUGCAAUGGAUUGUGCAAGAUCAUGCAUAAGAUCAUGCAUUUUACAUGUUAUGUUGCCAAAUCCAUCAUCCUGGACCUCUUGCAGAAAUGACCUUCCCACUAGUUCAUUGAAUAUCUCAAUGCCCAUAACGUGCAAAUCCAUUUCUCUUCUGCAAGAAAAAAAACCAUUUGCCAUCCACAAAGCAACCAACUCCUCCCUCCUCAUCACGUGAUCUUUUGGAAAUAUAGCGCAAUACGUAAAGCAUUGCUUCAAAUGUGGUGAUAGAUUAGUGUAACUCAACCUCAAAGCAGGUAAAAUCUUGCUUGCUUCUUCUCUUAGAUCCCAAAUCUCACUUUCUUUGACAGCUAUCCACUGAUCUUCAUUAUCUUUUAGCCGCAUUAGGUUCCCGAGUGCCUUUAUAGCUAAAGGAACACCACCACACUUCUUCACUAUUGAU
rnacentral:lncRNA from 1 species